rnacentral:rRNA from 1 species
CGAAAGGCGUAGUCGAUGGGAAACGGGUUAAUAUUCCCGUACUUCUUACAAUUGCGAUGGGGGGACGGAGAAGGCUAGGUGGGCCUGGCGACGGUUGUCCAGGUUCAAGUGCGUAGGCUUAAGAGUUAGGUAAAUCCGGCUCUUUUUAAGGCUGAGACACGACGUCGAGCACCUACGGGUGUGAAGUCAUUGAUGCCAUGCUUCCAGGAAAAGCCUCUAAGCUUCAGAUUGUAAGGAAUCGUACCCCAAACCGACACAGGUGGUCGGGUAGAGAAUACCAAGGCGCUUGAGAGAACUCGGGUGAAGGAACUAGGCAAAAUGGUACCGUAACUUCGGGAGAAGGUACGCUCUCGACGGUGAAGUCCCUUGCGGAUGGAGCUAUUGAGAGUCGCAGAUACCAGGUGGCUGCAACUGUUUAUUAAAAACACAGCACUGUGCAAAAUCGUAAGAUGACGUAUACGGUGUGACGCCUGCCCGGUGCCGGAAGGUUAAUUGAUGGGGUUAGACUUCGGUCGAAGCUCUUGAUCGAAGCCCCGGUAAACGGCGGCCGUAACUAUAACGGUCCUAAGGUAGCGAAAUUCCUUGUCGGGUAAGUUCCGACCUGCACGAAUGGCGUAAUGAUGGCCACGCUGUCUCCACCCGAGACUCAGUGAAAUUGAAAUCGCUGUGAAGAUGCAGUGUACCCGCGGCUAGACGGAAAGACCCCGUGAACCUUUACUACAGCUUGGCACUGAACAUUGACCCUACAUGUGUAGGAUAGGUGGGAGGCUUUGAAGCACGUACGCCAGUAUGUGUGGAGCCGUCCUUGAAAUACCACCCUUGUAGUGUUGAUGUUCUAACGUCGACCCCUAAUCGGGGUUGCGGACAGUGCCUGGUGGGUAGUUUGACUGGGGCGGUCUCCUCCCAAAGAGUAACGGAGGAGCACGAAGGUGGGCUAAUCACGGUUGGACAUCGUGAGGUUAGUGCAAUGGCAUAAGCCCGCUUGACUGCGAGAAUGACAAUUCGAGCAGGUGCGAAAGCAGGUCAUAGUGAUCCGGUGGUUCUGAAUGGAAGGGCCAUCGCUCAACGGAUAAAAGGUACUCCGGGGAUAACAGGCUGAUACCGCCCAAGAGUUCAUAUCGACGGCGGUGUUUGGCACCUCGAUGUCGGCUCAUCACAUCCUGGGGCUGAAGUCGGUCCCAAGGGUAUGGCUGUUCGCCAUUUAAAGUGGUACGCGAGCUGGGUUUAGAACGUCGUGAGACAGUUCGGUCCCUAUCUGCCGUGGGCGUUGGAAGAUUGAAGGGGGCUGCUCCUAGUACGAGAGGACCGGAGUGGACGAACCUCUGGUGUUCGGGUUGUGUCGCCAGACGCAUUGCCCGGUAGCUAAGUUCGGAAUCGAUAACCGCUGAAAGCAUCUAAGCGGGAAGCGAGCCCUGAGAUGAGUCUUCCCUGAUACUUUAAGUAUCCUAAAGGGUUGUCGGAGACUACGACGUUGAUAGGUCAGGUGUGUAAGUGCUGUGAGGCAUUGAGCUAACUGAUACUAAUUGCCCGUGAGGCUUAACCAUACAACACCCA